GACGAACGCUGGCGGCGUGCUUAACACAUGCAAGUCGAACGGAAAGUGCUCUUCGGAGUGACUCGAGUGGCGAACGGGUGAGUAACACGUGGGUGAUCUGCCCUGCACUUUGGGAUAAGCCUGGGAAACUGGGUCUAAUACCGAAUAGGAUCAUUGGCUUCAUGGCUGGUGGUGGAAAGCUUUUGCGGUGUGGGAUGGGCCCGCGGCCUAUCAGCUUGUUGGUGGGGUAAUGGCCUACCAAGGCGACGACGGGUAGCCGGCCUGAGAGGGUGUCCGGCCACACUGGGACUGAGAUACGGCCCAGACUCCUACGGGAGGCAGCAGUGGGGAAUAUUGCACAAUGGGCGCAAGCCUGAUGCAGCGACGCCGCGUGAGGGAUGACGGCCUUCGGGUUGUAAACCUCUUUCAGUAGGGACGAAGCGUAAGUGACGGUACCUAUAGAAGAAGCACCGGCCAACUACGUGCCAGCCGCCGCAGUAA
rnacentral:rRNA from 1 species